rnacentral:rRNA from 1 species
GAGCGAGAGAGAGUUACUUUUUCGAGCGAGUGGCGAACGGGUGAGUAACGCGUGAGGAACCUGCCUCAAAGAGGGGGACAACAGUUGGAAACGACUGCUAAUACCGCAUAAGCCCACGACCCGGCAUCGGGUAGAGGGAAAAGGAGCAAUCCGCUUUGAGAUGGCCUCGCGUCCGAUUAGCUAGUUGGUGAGGUAAUGGCCCACCAAGGCGACGAUCGGUAGCCGGACUGAGAGGUUGAACGGCCACAUUGGGACUGAGACACGGCCCAGACUCCUACGGGAGGCAGCAGUGGGGAAUAUUGCACAAUGGGGGAAACCCUGAUGCAGCGACGCCGCGUGGAGGAAGAAGGUCUUCGGAUUGUAAACUCCUGUUGUUGAGGAAGAUAAUGACGGUACUCAACAAGGAAGUGACGGCUAACUACGUGCCAGCAGCCGCGGUAAAACGUAGGUCACAAGCGUUGUCCGGAAUUACUGGGUGUAAAGGGAGCGCAGGCGGGAAGACAAGUUGGAAGUGAAAUNCCAUGGGCUCAACCCAUGAACUGCUUUCAAAACUGUUUUUCUUGAGUAGUGCAGAGGUAGGCGGAAUUCCCGGUGUAGCGGUGGAAGGUAGAUAUCGGGAGGAACACCAGUGGCGAAG